CGUAGGCGGCCAGCACAAGUCAGUUGUGAAAUCUCCGAGCUUAACUCGGAAAGGUCAACUGAUACUGUGCGGCUAGAGUGCGGAAGGGGCAACUGGAAUUCUUGGUGUAGCGGUGAAAUGCGUAGAUAUCAAGAGGAACACCUGCGGCGAAGGCGGGUUGCUGGGCCGACACUGACGCUGAGGCGCAAAGCUAGGGGAGCGAACG
rnacentral:rRNA from 1 species